UCAUGUUCAGUGUCUGGCUCUGUACUCGGAAGGUUUCAGGUUUCCUCCUCAGAUAAAAUGGGGCUUCUUCGUGACGGGCAGCAGAUUCAGUGGCGUAUCUUGACGUAAGCGCGGCAACGGAACUGUUUAUAAAGCUGCAGUCGUUGAGCUUUAA
rnacentral:misc_RNA from 1 species